rnacentral:hammerhead_ribozyme from 1 species
AUCCAUCUGACGAGUCCCAAAAAGGACGAAAAGCGCAUCCUGGAU